UACGUAGGGUGCGAGCGUUGUCCGGAAUUACUGGGCGUAAAGAGCUCGUAGGUGGUUUGUCGCGUCGUCUGUGAAAUUCCGGGGCUUAACUUCGGGCGUGCAGGCGAUACGGGCAUAACUUGAGUGCUGUAGGGGAGACUGGAAUUCCUGGUGUAGCGGUGAAAUGCGCAGAUAUCAGGAGGAACACCGAUGGCGAAGGCAGGUCUCUGGGCAGUAACUGACGCUGAGGAGCGAAAGCAUGGGUAGCGAACAGGAUUAGAAACCCCCGUAGUCC
rnacentral:rRNA from 1 species